GAUGAACGCUGGCGGCGUGCCUAAUACAUGCAAGUCGAACGCUGGAGAUCUAGCUUGCUAGAUCGGAGGAGUGGCGGACUGGUGAGUAAUACAUAAGCAACCUACCCACGAAGACUGGGAUAAUCUCUGGAAACGGGGACUAAUACCGGAUAGGUAAUCGGAAUGCAUCUUCCGGUUAUUAAAGGUUAAAAACACUGGUGGAUGGGCUUAUGGAGCAUUAGUUAGUUGGUCAGGUAACGGCCCACCAAGACGAUGAUGCGUAGCCGGACUGAGAGGGCGAACGGCGACAUGGGAACUGGGACACGGCCACGACUACUAAGGCACGCAGCAGUCGCGAACUUUCGGCAAUGGGGGCAAAUCUGACCCAGCAGCGCAGAGUGAGUGAAGGCGGCCCUCGGGGUGUAAAGAUCUGCUGUAAGGGAAGAACGGUAGAUAGAGAAUAUCUAAGUGACGGUACCUUAAGAGAAAGCCACGGCUAACUACGUG
rnacentral:rRNA from 1 species